UCUGGUUAGCUAAAGCUCCUUAGCAGCCAAAAAUGGAGUUUGUAGAAGGAAAACUGAAAGAAGAGAAGUGGUUCGGUGAGAUGGUUUUCCCUAGGACCCUCCUCCCCUCUCAUGGAUGUGAAGAUGGAGCCACAACAUUUUCUUCCCCAUUUCACAAGCAUGAAGGGGAAGAAACUCGUUUGGCAGAGGCUGUUAAGGCAAAUCGCGUGUGGCUCGAUAAACAGUUGAGUCGUCAUGGUGCUAUACUCUUUCGAGGGUUUGAUGUGCGUCGUGCCGAGGACUUUCGAAGCGUGGUGGAGGCGUUUGGGUGGGAGGAGAUGGAUUACGGGAUUGGCGAUGAGACGCGCUCCAAGGUUAUUGAUCGUAUCUAUACUGCAAACGAGGCUCCGCCCGACGUGCUCAUCGAUUUCCACCAUGAGAUGUCAAAUCUAAGAGCCCUCUCUCUCUCUGCGAAGGCGUGUAUGCUUGCAUGUGUGUCUGAGAUGAUCACCUUGCCUCUCAAAGCGUACUCUCUCCCGGUCUUUAAAAAUAUGGACUCUCUUCAGACUAGCCACUUCCUAAGUCCAACCAUUUAAUGGGAAAAUUUCAUUACAGUCCCUCGCCUCAGGGUACUCACUGAGUUUUCUAGCGAAAAUUAUAGAUUGGACCUUAAGCUCAGAAGAAUCGGCCUUUUGGGCAAUUCCCUCCAAAAUGGUUAGGGCGAGCCAACUCAAGCAAAAUGGUUAGGGCGAGCCAACUCAAACGAUUCUAAGUUGGUUCAGCCAAUUUUUAAGGGAAAAGUGUUUUUUUUGUGAGGCACAGACUCACUAGCCCACUUCAUCUUUAAGGUGAACCUUCACACCUAGAGAUUUCUAUUCAAUAGAUAUAAUUUUUUCUUAAAAAAGUUAUUUUAAAUUUUAUUUUAUUUUUAUUUUUCAUAUUAAUGAUUAUCGUAGUCUGCAAAUUUAAGUUCAAGAUCUAUAUAAAACAUGAGCUAGAGGGAGCCUGCACGAGAAUAGUAUGACUCGGGGGACUCAUAAAAACUGGAUCCAUUUAUAAGUCUCUCGAAUACCAUUCCUUCUCCUUCCGAAAUAUCAAUCCUAUCCGCCCCAUUUAUUACAAAAGUAAAUAGAUGACACAAGAAGCUGGGUCAUAAAACUUUAUGAGGGUAAUUUAGGUAUUUUAAAAAUAUCGUUGUACUCAAUGGGACUGAUAAACUUAUUUGUUUUCGGUUUACUAAGGGUUCGUUUGAUAACGGGGAAGCGUCUUUUUAAAAGUUUAGAGCGUCUUAAUACUGUUUAAGUUAUGGAGUAGUAGACAGAGCUAUAGAAAUAUUGGGUAUUGGCGUAGGAGUACUUAAUUGUGGGGACGGAAUGCCUUUGAUAUCUAAUUGGGUUAAUUUAGAUAUCAAUUGGUUCAUUAGUGUUUUAUUAUCUUCUCCUAAAUGGAAUUUUGUUUUAUUAAGUUAUGGAGGUGGUUUGAAUAAAAAAGCUUUAGGAACAGGAGGGGUUACUCCCUUAGGUUGAGGAAUGAUCAGUCUUUCUAUCCUUUCUGCUUGUUUUCCUAAAAAUUGCAUGUAUAAGUUGGUAUAAUUUUUUUGCUCAAUAAUAUGUGGUAUUAAUUCAUGAUUUUUUAUCAUAUCCUUAGGUACAACCUUAUAAGGUGUUGCAAUAAUUUCAUAUAAAGAUUGUGGUGGUUCACCUUUUACUGGUGAGGUAUUAACUCCUUUGAGUAUAAUACUUUUGACAGGAGGAUGGAUAUUAGAGGUUGAGGACAAUGGCAAUCUGGACGACCAAGGGUCCAACGUGUUCCCCUAAGCGGCUCUUCCUGGCCUUGGCGGGGCUCUGCCGAAGUUAGGUUGCAACUCAGUUGAAUUUCUUGAGGAUGGGAGAGCUGAAUUUAUCUAUGGACCCUUGAACCCAAUACGGACUUUUCAAGGGGGGCGCAGGGUUUGGUUCUCCACCAUUGUAGGCUACACUGGCAAGCUUGAUGACAUGAGUUUAGGCUUUGGAGAUGGAGUUCCAUUUCCUGAUGAAGCCAUAAAAAACUACGGGAAGAUCAGGGAUGAGAACAAUGUGAAUAUUAGAUGGGAAAAAGGUGAUAUCUUGCUUGUUGACAACCUUGCUGUUCAGCAUGCUCGGAGGCCCGGGAAGCCUACUCGCAUCAUUUUAGCUUCAUUGUGCAAGUGAAUUCUACUCUCUCUGUGUAUAUGUGUGUGUAUGUACUCGGACUUUUGCUUUAUUGUGAAAGUGAACUUUAUAGUCUC